rnacentral:rRNA from 1 species
UACAGAGGUCCCAAGCGUUGUUCGGAUUCAUUGGGCGUAAAGGGUGUGUAGGUGGCGCCGUAAGUCGGGUGUGAAAUCUCGGAGCUUAACUCCGAAACUGCAUUCGAUACUGGAAGGCUUGAAUCCGGGAGAGGGAUGCGGAAUUCCAGGUGUAGCGGUGGAAUGCGUAGAGAUCCGGAAGAACACCGGUGGCGAAGGCGGCCUGCUGGGCAGUUGCUGACACUGAGGCGCGACAGCGUGGGGAGCAAACAGG